CCUACGGGAGGCAGCAGUGAGGAAUAUUGGUCAAUGGACGCAAGUCUGAACCAGCCAUGCCGCGUGCAGGAAGACUGCUCUAUGAGUUGUAAACUGCUUUUGUACGAGGGUAAACGCAGAUACGUGUACCUUUCUGAAUGUAUUUUACGAAUAAGGAUCGGCUAACUCCGUGCCAGCAGCCGCGGUAAUACGGAGGAUUCAAGCGUUAUCCGGAUUUAUUGGGUUUAAAGGGAGCGUAGGUGGGUGGUUAAGUCAGUGGUGAAAUUCUGCGGCUCAACGUUGGAAUUGCAACUGAUACUGGUCGGCUUGAGAGUAGUUGCGGUAGGCGGAAUUCGUGGUGUAGCUGUGAAAUGCUUAGAGAUCAUAAAGAACACCGAUUGCGAAGGCAGCUUACCAAGCUACUACUGACGUUGAGGCACGAAAGCGUGGGGAGCAAACAGGAUUAGAUACCCCGGUAGUC
rnacentral:rRNA from 1 species